UAGCACUUUUAGCUUUAAUAUACCUCAC
rnacentral:sRNA from 1 species